UUCGCUAUCUCAGCACGUUCCGGGCCUCUAGUUCCUCCUCGCCACUUCUUCUUGUCGGACGACUCUGACAGUCGAAGCAGCAGCAACUUCGCGGCCACAGUUCUUGCCGUAGCUAUCAGACAGAUAGGUCGAGCGAUCACUUGGGGGGCCAACAGGUUGAGGGCUCACACACACAACGAUACGCCGCCGACGACGACGACGACAACUAACUAUGUGAGCGUCUACCCCGGUGAAGGUGCUCAUAUACUGGUGCACCAGCUUGGCUGGUGCCGCUAUCAUUGCUGUGUUUACCGUAUGCCCGCUUCAGCUUUACGGCCGUAUUUUCAUCGUUCAUAACAGCCACGUUACGGUGGUGCCUCGACCGCUUAGCGAGCGAACGAGUGAGUGAGUGGAGCCGCACGCGGGGCAGGACGGGACAACGAAGCGCCGGCCACCAGCAAAGAGCGCACAGAUUGUUUAGUAAGUGUGCGGCGUGCGACUGCGUCAAACGUCGAACUGAGCCGUGCGUUAUUCGUUGGUUGACGCUUCACGUUGCCGCUCAGCAGAACGACCGGCGAACAGUCGAAAACCUGACGCAGAUCGACAAAAGCAAAGAGUGGAACGGAUUUGCCCGAGACAAAGACCGAGGACCCCGCGCCGGCAAUGGUUGCGCCAAUGGCAUCAGGUCGCGCUGGUACCAGCAGAGCAGACGACUGAUCGAGAGACAGCCUGACAGGACAACGGCUCGCACCGCACACGCUUUUUUGACAGCAGCCGGCGCUUAUCGACAGUAAACUGCAGCAGCAGUAGCAGCAGCGGCAACAGCAGCAGCAGCAGCACCAGCAGCAGCAGCAGCAGCAGCAGCAGCAGGAACUGCAAGCAAGCUGGAGGAAUCCGUGGCGGCAAUGGCUGGCGAGCACAGCAGUGCAACGUGGCACCGAGGUAAUCUAGUGCUUUUACCAUAGUUAGGGUUGGCGGCUCCAAUAUCUAACAGCCGCACGAUUACCUGGCACAUCUAAUUUGCUUACGUGCGAUUGGUUCCGACGUCGGCUAACUUCAAUAGUGGACUUUCUUCGAUACAUCCUUAGAUGAUACAACUGCUACGCACGGAAACGGAAGCUCGAAGCUAGAACGGAUAGCGUUAGUUCCAAUGUGUAACACUAUGGCUGUCGCAUCUUCUAACCUAUCGUUUAAUGUCGUAUCGUGAGCGUCGUACUAUCGUCGCAUGAGUUCAACGAGUCCAUAGUAACUUAUCAUUGCAAACGUGCGAUUUCGAAUAUUUCUGAGUUCGUUAUCAUCGUACUUGUUUGUAGAAGGAAGAAUUAGAUUAUCGUGCAGUAUUUAGCGUGCCGAUGUGAACCCCGACUAUGUUCAUCUAAGAAAGGAAGAACGUGCAUGCAUUUCUGGUUAUUAUUGCUAUUCGGUCGAUGUGCCUUUUCCAUAGCAGUGACGUGCCAUUCCGAACAGGAUGAGAAGCUGACCUUUACAGCCGAAGCUUGUUGGCGUUUUUCGCAGCCCGGAUGAUGGUCGUUACAGCAUGUCUGAGGUGUUCUGAAGCCUAUGGGACCACCUCUAGUCCUGUAAUGGAAAUGUGGUACCCCUAACCCUCCACGGCGAAAAACAACGAAGAAAGAUCGACCAUAGUAAGAAGCCGAGCAGGACGAAGGAAGUGUGACUGGGAAGUUUGCAGAUUCGGAGAUUGGUGAUGUUUGGACGUGCUAGUUGUAAAAUAGCAAGUGGCCACAAAGGCCAAGGAAAGAAUCAUAGAUAAAUAUCCCAUAUUGAACAAAUCGAGAUGAGGCGGGGUCUGCUUCCUGAACUCGUGGUGCUGAGGAAUACGGAUAGCUAACUUUACCGUUGGUGAUCGUUGUGCCCAACAGGCAACAGUCAGAAAAUCAAAAGUGAGUUCAUCUAGUAUUCAUUGAGUGACAUCGGCACAUACAGUCUCGUAUAUUUCGAAGCGCUUAAUGAAACGGGUAGCAGUCUUGUUCACGUUUCGGUGACAGGACGGAUGCUGACGAAAACGUGCGACCGAUCAGUCGUUGUCCUGUUGCUACGGUCCUCCCUGCUCGGGCGUUCAUUAUCAUGUAUUCUUCUCGCAGGCCACUUUCUAUCGUCCUAUAUAAUCAAGCAACAGAGAACAUCCUAAGUUAUUUCACAUGUACGGCUAUGUAUUCGAAAACAAAUCGGCAAAAAGAUCCGCUUAUCUGCGGCACCUGGCCGUUCCUGACUGAGUGGCCUACUACUGUGAUGUGGAAUCAGACGAAGGCAAUAUCUUCAAACGGUGCGUAACGAGCUGACACUAAAGUGAAGCUUGGAUUCGUAUUGUCAUAGCAAUUACCGCUGCUUAUUCAUUUACAUUUUUUACGUGAUUUUAUGUUUUUAGAUAAAGUCGCUCGAGUGCUCAUGAUGGAUAGACGCAAGCACAUCCUCUAUACUUCGACAUUUAACGUCUGUGGUCUAACACUGAUCAAACUCUAAUUUUCGUCCUCUGAUUCCAAUUGUCCUAGUACUGUUUUCUUAUCUACAUAGGCCAGCCACAACCGACUGCCGCUGUAAAAACUGACAUUUUCUCCAUAGCGCAUUACGCCGUACCAGUUAGCAGACAUAGGUUGUGCGAUACGUGCAUACUACUUUCUGUCCAGCAACAUCCGACUUUAGCCUCGGUCACUUAUUUGGCCGCGGCGGUUUUUCGAAUGUCUAUAUAGUGCUAUUGGUAGCAGCAGUCUAUGCGAUGGUCCCAUUUUUCGAAUGGUGGGUCGUCGUCCGCCGCUUCAUCGGACGCGGUCUGGCUGGCAAGGUGUGUAACUAUUCGUCUCUCCGCUGGGAGCCCCACAGUACGAAACGUCGACGACACAGCGAGCGUAGAUUGGGUUCGAGCAUAUGUUUAUAUGUAAUUUGUGUGUCUAUGGACUGAGGAGAAGCGGGCCUGGGUCCGUCACCAUGCGGAGACCAGGACAUUCAAUCAGAACGAAUGCCCCGUCUAUCUAAACUGCAUUAAGCCUUUGAAAUUUUUUCGGCCGUCAUUCUCAGCCUCCCCUUACCCCCUCCCCAGCAUUGUCAUUGUAAUCGCUACCACUGAAAAUCAUUGGGUUCCACUUCCACCGCGUCUAUAUGCGUUUCGUUACGCGUUUCCGAAUUGACGGAUCGUUCGUGUUGCUGGCAAGUAGACGACGACGACGACGACGGCGGCGGCGACGGUAGCCACGGGUGGUCGAAAGUAAAAGAAGUCGCCAGUACUCAAUGAGCGAAUUUGUUUGGAUUGCGUAACACGACCAACGCGUUGUCUCAAGAGGGCUCUUUCUCCCAGAAAAUUGGCAGUCGGCCACCUUGACUUGGUGUGGAUGAUCCUGCUUAUGGACGAUAGUCUGCGCGGUUGAGUACCUAUGAUAAUAAGUAUUGCUUAAAAAGUAUCUAACAAUACGCAUGCCAGUGCCAAUGCGAUUUCUGAAGCUCGCGGAAUGGUCUCGCAUGUUGGCCAGUUAGGACAGAACGUAGUACGUAAUAUCUAUAUACUUCAUGGGCUUUGAGGUGCGCGGCUGAAUGUGAGGCUACUGGAUACAUUUGCCAGAUAUACACAGAAGACAAUGAUUUUCCUUAAUGGAGGCUUAAGCUUAAUAAAAAUAAAAGAAUAAGAAUCAAAGCAAUGCUGGUGACACAGGAAAUUGUUAAAGUAGACAUAAAUUAACUUUUUGUGUAGAUGUUUCCAAACUAUGUGUAGUUAGCCUUUCAAACAGGGCGCCAUGAUAGGGCCAAUUCAUCUGGUAAAGAUCUCGUAUGGCGUCUUGUACAUUGAUAUUUUACUAUUUGAUGAUGCAUUGAAAAGUCUAUUUGCUGCAUUGGUCAAUGACGGAUUCUGAAGUCUGAGACGGAACGUCUGAUCUGUAAACAUAUGAAAAACUUAAUAAUCAUACUUCACUAUGUUAUAACACUAACAACAUUAACCAAUCAAUAAAUUGUUUUUUAUUGAAGAACUUUUUAUUAGAG
rnacentral:lncRNA from 1 species